CACGUAGGGUGCGAGCGUUGUCCGGAAUUAUCGGGCGUAAAGAGCUCGUAGGCGGUGUGUCGCGUCGGCCGUGAAAACCAGCAGCUCAACUGCUGGCUUGCAGGCGAUACGGGCAGACUUGAGUACUGCAGGGGAGACUGGAAUUCCUGGUGUAGCGGUGAAAUGCGCAGAUAUCAGGAGGAACACCGGUGGCGAAGGCGGGUCCCUGGGCAGUAACUGACGCUGAGGAGCGAAAGCGUGGGGAGCGAACAGG
rnacentral:rRNA from 1 species